rfam:Myotis brandtii contig299016, whole genome shotgun sequence.
GGUGGUUCUCGGGUGAUGCACCCCAGAAUUGGGCUCCCUCCUCUCUAGUUCCGUGUGUGUCACCCGAGAUCCAUA